GUGGCCGUAGCUUAACGGGCAGAGCAUCUGGUUGUGGCCCAGAAGGUUAAGGGUUCAAAUCCCUUCGGUCACC
rnacentral:tRNA from 1 species